GAACGACAUCGUUUUCUCUAUGAAAAUCGUACUCAUCCUCUUUCCCUUUAGAACAAAGUGUCAUUCGAUGCUUUUACCAAAUUCGAAAGAUAUUUUUAUCUUUUAUUGUAGAAUAAAAGAAAAGAAAAAAAAGUAACAUCCAAGAGCAGGCAGUGAGCCGAAAAAAUAUCGAAAGCUUUCGCCGAGUGUCAUACCCUUUUGGUAAAAGUUAUAAAAACUUUCUCUCUUGUAAUUAGUUCCCAGCGGAGUUAAACCGGUGCGUUGGCGUGACAGUGCGGAUAGGGAGAAGUGGAAGAUCGAAGGUACGAGAAAAAAUCAAGCAAGUCAAUCCAGGUCACGAGGGAGAUAAGACUCCUUCUAUCCUCUCUCUCUCUCUCUCUCUCUCGCGCGCGCGCGCGCGCACGUGCGUUAUUUUAUGCUCGGUCAAAGUUUUUCGCAAAAGGAUCUGGGCGGCUGCGGCGGAGGCGGCAUUUUAGCGAGUCUCCCGUCGACUUUCUCUUUGGUGGUCGUGUCGAAAGUUUUGCGAGAGAGCUUGGGAUACAAGAACGACGUGGGAGGGAAGGAAGGGAUGAAAAUGGAGCGAGGAUCAAGCUGGCGAAGAGGAUAAAGAUUUUUUUUCGCCUUUUCUCGGUGGACUGAUUGAUCCGCGUGGAACGAGCGUGCAAACGUCUCUGUGUGAACAUACGUAUCUCGGAAAUUGGAAAAAAAAAAAAAGAAAAAGAAAAAAAAAAAAAAAAAAGAAAUAACAAUGGCCGGCACCACAGUGAGAACAUCGACGAAAAAAUUAAAUCUUUGCGUCUGCAUUACACGAUUCGAUUUUCUCGCGCAAAGAAGAUAUAUGGAUUUAUUCGAAAUCAUCGUUGUAGCGAAUUUCUUUUCAAAAAUGCAUUUUACGAUCUGGACGGGGAGCAAACAAAAACUUGUAAAAAAUAUAAGUACGUGCGGUUAAAAGGAUACGGAAAGAAUGAGUUUAGGAACGAGCGAUGAACGUUUCGCACGUUUUGCCUUGCUAUGUAAGCUCACGCGUACCGGAAAUUACGGUGGUAUACGAAUUACGUUUGAAUGGUACGCUAGGAAUUUUCCAUACUUAUGCGAAGGUACAUCCGAUGAAAAAAAGAAAAAAAAAAAAGAAAAAAAAAAUUCUU